GGCUGGAGGGGGUUAGGGACGGAGGAGAGGAGAGGGGUUAGACGACGGAGAGGGGUUAGGUGGCGGAGAGGGAGUUCCGCGACAGAGAGAGGAGGAGGGCGCAGAAACUGGGGCGGCUGGGCGGCGUCGGCCGCGAGAAGGCAAGGGGGAGACGGAAGGGAGAGAGAGGUCGGGCGACGGCGGAGGGAAGAAGUGGAGGCACCACCAGGUGCCGCAGCGACUCCUCGCGUCCGGCGGCAUAGGUAAGUAGACCGUCCGAAGAGGAGACAGCACGGGACGACCACCACCGAAAGAGGCUGUUCCUCUCGAGCGACAGGGACUCGUACCGCUGGAGGCGCAGGGAUAGGCAAAGGUGGUGGAGGCGGCGAUCUAGGCCCGUACCGCUGGAGGUCCUGCCUGGAGAGGAAGGUCCCGUCUCUUGCUGCGGGCUUCCAUGCAGUCGCGGACAUCUCCCGCUCCCUCUCGCCGCUGUCGCCUCUAAAGAAGUGGUGACGGAGACGUAGAGAGACAGAGAUGGUACCGGGACGGAUGAGAAGAUGUCCCGUUCUUGGUUUAUCCCGGGUACUGACCGUCGUAGACGGGAGCUCGAGGUCGACUUCGUUUAUUAGGGGUUCCACAACAAGUUAGGUAGCCAACGAACGUCACACGACACUAAUUCCUCCUGUACAAUAAAAUCACACGCUCUCUCUAGAACGUCCGACCGUAGACCCUCCUAGUAAGUGGACUGGUUCGUGUCAUACUACCAUCAUAGUUUAUACUCUAAUAAUUUCGUAGAAAACAUAAGGAGUUCGUGACCGUCCCGACGCCAUUACCCCUCACAGUCGUUGAUUUUAAUUAAGUAAAUAGGAACCUUCACCCUAUUGUUCUUCCCUUUUACCGUACGUACUAGUGAGAAAAAAUUACUCAACCGGUUACAACCGUACUUCGGUAUUUUCAAUCGACCAACACCUCCUAAAACCAUCACCACUACUUAACCGUGGAAAAGAACGAACGGUAGUACGGUACUAAGCUUUAAACCAAGAGUCCGAUCCACCACACCAAUGAAAGUUAUCGCGAAGUCAAGACGUCAGCUGUCAAGCUGGAGUACGAUCCCGUCGGAGUCUGUCAACGGAGAAGAUGGUUUCCAUACGGAAGAUGGCUUUCACGCUCUUGUUGCUACUAGAGUCCACCAACGGGAUCACUCAAUACUAGUUGACCUAUACGUGUUGUUGACUAAUAGUACUACACACCAAAGACUUAUAACUCUGGAGGUCAAAACCCCUACCACGUGAGAUUAAACCUUCACCGAGUUCUUAGUAGCUCCAACGAGGAAGAGACAAGGAAACCAGUUCUCCUCUCCCUACACGCCGUCGCCUGCCCUCUCCCAGUGGCCUUCCUUGUCGACCAGUAGCAAGUGUAGCGCGACCCGGUCUCUACCAAGAAAUGUUGGGUGUGCAGGCGUCUCAGGUGUUCACCAACGGGACUUCAGAGGAGGAACGGGCCGAAUAAGUAAUUCCCAGGCAGUCGAUGAAUACGAAACGAUCUGUUACUCUCAUACAUCUAUCGUACAUGACAAAAAGUAACAAAACGCGUCCAACUCUACGUGGUGUACUACAAAAGGAAAAUGUAAAUACUCAUAAUGUAUCAGGAAAGAAAAAGGUGUUCCCCGUCAUCAACACGGUAAACUAAGCUUCCUGUUUCUCAACUAGUGUUUCCCCAUCGUAAGUGCUAUAUAUGUGUUUUCAUAUACUGGUUUGAUAUACUACAUUAACUGGUGAUAAAGAUAAUUGAAGAGAACAUAUGUUACAAGUGCUCAAGUACAUAAUUCAUGUAAAAUAACACAG
rnacentral:rRNA from 1 species